AGUCCUGUAGUAUAAUUAUUACAUAAGAUUGCAAAUCUUGAGACGGAGAUUAGGUUCUCCCGGGGCUU
rnacentral:tRNA from 3 species